rnacentral:rRNA from 1 species
CUUUCCUACGGGAGGCAGCAGUGAGGAAUAUUGGUCAAUGGGCGAGAGCCUGAACCAGCCAAGUCGCGUGAGGGAAGACGGUCCUAUGGAUUGUAAACCUCUUUUGCCGGGGAGCAAAAAGCGGUACGUGUACCGCAUCGAGAGUACCCGGAGAAAAAGCAUCGGCUAACUCCGUGCCAGCAGCCGCGGUAAUACGGAGGAUGCGAGCGUUAUCCGGAUUUAUUGGGUUUAAAGGGUGCGUAGGCGGUUUUAUAAGUUAGAGGUGAAAUCUCGGGGCUCAAAUCCG